rnacentral:rRNA from 1 species
UACAGAGGUCUCAAGCGUUGUUCGGAUUCAUUGGGCGUAAAGGGUGCGUAGGCGGCGCGGUAAGUCGGGUGUGAAAUCUCGGGCUUAACUCCGAAACUGCAUUCGAUACUGCCGUGCUUGAGGACUGGAGAGGAGACUGGAAUUUACGGUGUAGCGGUGAAAUGCGUAGAUAUCGUAAGGAAGACCAGUGGCGAAGGCGGGUCUCUGGACAGUUCCUUGACGCUGAGGCACGAAGGCCAGGGGAGCAAACGGG